rnacentral:rRNA from 1 species
CCUACGGGCCGCAGCAGUGGGGAAUAUUGCACAAUGGGCGCAAGCCUGAUGCAGCCAUGCCGCGUGUAUGAAGAAGGCCUUCGGGUUGUAAAGUACUUUCAGCGGGGAGGAAGGUGUUGUGGUUAAUAACCACAGCAAUUGACGUUACCCGCAGAAGAAGCACCGGCUAACUCCGUGCCAGCAGCCGCGGUAAUACGGAGGGUGCAAGCGUUAAUCGGAAUUACUGGGCGUAAAGCGCACGCAGGCGGUUUGUUAAGUCAGAUGUGAAAUCCCCGGGCUCAACCUGGGAACUGCAUCUGAUACUGGCAAGCUUGAGUCUCGUAGAGGGGGGUAGAAUUCCAGGUGUAGCGGUGAAAUGCGUAGAGAUCUGAAGGAAUACCAGUGGCGAAGGCGGCCCCCUGGACAAAGACUGACGCUCAGAUGCGAAAGCGUGGGGAGCAAACAGGAUUAGAUACCCCGGUAGUC